rnacentral:tRNA from 1 species
UGGUGAGAUAGCUCAGUAGGUAGAGCACGGGACUGAAAAUCCCGGUGUCGGCGGUUCAAUUCCGCCUCUCACCAU